GACGAACGCUGGCGGCGUGCUUAACACAUGCAAGUCGAACGGAAAGGCCCUGCUUUUGUGGGGUGCUCGAGUGGCGAACGGGUGAGUAACACGUGAGUAACCUGCCCUUGACUUUGGGAUAACUUCAGGAAACUGGGGCUAAUACCGGAUAGGAGCUCCUGCUGCAUGGUGGGGGUUGGAAAGUUUCGGCGGUUGGGGAUGGACUCGCGGCUUAUCAGCUUGUUGGUGGGGUAGUGGCUUACCAAGGCUUUGACGGGUAGCCGGCCUGAGAGGGUGACCGGCCACCUUGGGCCUGCGGUACGGCCCAGACUCCUACGGGAGGCAGCAGUGGGGAAUAUUGCACAAUGGGCGGAAGCCUGAUGCAGCAACGCCGCGUGCGGGAUGACGGCCUUCGGGUUGUAAACCGCUUUCGCCUGUGACGAAGCGUGAGUGACGGUAAUGGGUAAAGAAGCACCGGCUAACUACGUG
rnacentral:rRNA from 1 species